rnacentral:rRNA from 1 species
GGGCAGUUUGACUGGGGCGGUCGCCUCCCAAAAGGUAACGGAGGCGCUCAAAGGUUCUCUCAGUACGGUCGGAAAUCGUACGUAGAGUGUAAAGGCAAAAGAGAGCUUGAUUGCAAGACAUACAGGUCGAGCAAGGAUGAAAAUCGGACUUAGUGAUCCGGUGGUUCUGCGUGGAAGGGCCAUCGCUCAACGGAUAAAAGCUACCCUGGGGAUAACAGGCUUAUCUCCCCCAAGAGUCCACAUCGACGGGGAGGUUUGGCACCUCGAUGUCGGCUCAUCACAUCCUGGGGCUGUAGUAGGUCCCAAGGGUUGGGCUGUUCGCCCAUUAAAGUGGUACGCGAGCUGGGUUCAGAACGUCGUGAGACAGUUCGGUCCCUAUCCGUCGCAGGCGUAGGAAAUUUGAGAAGACCUGUCCUUAGUACGAGAGGACCGGGAUGGACGUACCUCUGGUGUACCAGUUGUUCUGCCAAGGGCAUGGCUGGGUAGCUAUGUACGGAAUGGAUAAGCGCUGAAAGCAUCUAAGCGCGAAGCCAACUUCAAGAUAAGAUUUCCCACCGCAAGGGUAAGACCCCAGAAAGACUAUCUGGUUGAUAGGUCGAAGGUGUAAGUGCAGCAAUGUAUUUAGCUUAUCGAUACUAAUAGGUCGAGGACUUGACCAA